rnacentral:rRNA from 1 species
UACGAAGGGGGCUAGCGUUGCUCGGAAUCACUGGGCGUAAAGCGCACGUAGGCGGAUUUUUAAGUCAGAGGUGAAAUCCUGGAGCUCAACUCCAGAACUGCCUUUGAUACUGAGAAUCUUGAGUUCGGGAGAGGUGAGUGGAACUGCGAGUGUAGAGGUGAAAUUCGUAGAUAUUCGCAAGAGCACCAGUGGCGAAGGCGGCUCACUGGCCCGAUACUGACGCUGAGGCACGAAAGCGUGGGGAGCAAACAGG